UCACACGAUCGAUCGAGCGUUUGUCACAUGAUCAAGCGUUUGCGUGUCACAUGAUCGAGCGUUUGUCACAUGAUCGAGCGUUUGCUUGUCACAUGAUCGAGCGUUUGCGUGUCACAUGAUUGAGCGUUUGUCACAUGAUCAAGAGUUGUCACAUGAUCGAGCGUUUGCGUGUCACAUGAUCGAUCGAGCGUUUGUCACAUGAUUGAGCGUUUGCGUGUCACAUGAUCGAGCGUUUGUCACAUGAUCGAGCGUUUGUCACAUGACAAUAAUGACAAUAAAAUGACAAUAAUCCAGACAGUGAAAGUGAAUGAAAACCCUUUAGGAAAACAGGAAACACUUUAAUCCACUUUAAUCUGGUAAUCUGACUGAGAUUGGCUCCAUUUAAGUGAGUUUAACAGCAGGUAAGAAGUCAAACCUGGUUUAGUUAACACUAACACUGUUAGUAAACAGAGGUGAAUGUGAUGUCGUCAUAACUGCGUCUCCAUGGCAACAAAACCAUGAACAAUAAUCUGAGAUUAAAUCACUUUCUGAUGAAUAAACUUUUCUCUCAUU